CCUCAGAAAGAAAAAACUUGAGAAUCCCUGUUGUAAGGGACCAUCUGUCACAAAGAUGAGCUCACCUAUGUAGGGAGACAUAUGGGAUGACCCAAGGGGACUGUCUGUGAUUCCAUGUUAAUGCUGUUACAGUGCCUGAAGCUUUUACAACGGAUACUUGGUUGGUGAAAUCUACAUAUAGACCUCACAGUCAAUUUGGUGUUUGUUCUCUGCUUCUUUCCAGUGUCAAAGUGGAACAAAGGGU